UGCAUGUUCAACUUCCCCACUAUUCUUAUACAUUCCUGGAGUGAGUAUUCUUUGGUACAGCUGUUCUAAGGCGAAUUCAGCCUCCUAUAUGAACAGCUUUACAAAUGUUCAUACCCUUUAUUUCAGAGAACUAAUCACAGAUGUGCACAAAGGCCUAUCUAUACCAUUGUUAGUAAUAACAAACAAGCAAACAGGAAAACCAGGAAAGAACCCAAGUGAUGUAGAGUAGGGAACUGAUUUUUUAAAAAUCUGGCACAUUAUACAAUGGAAAACUAUAUAGCCAAUGAUAAUGACGGUAUCAGAAACACAUAAGGACGUGGAAAAACCUUCCCACCAUAUGUUAGGUAGAAACACAAAGACAAGAAACCAGGAUACAAAAUUGUAUACACAUCAUGAUUCUCUAAUUUCUAAAAAUUACAUUAUUUAUUUAUUUAUUCAUCUAUUUUUUGGUGAGGAAGAUUCACCCUGAGCUAACAUCUGUUGCCAAUCUUCCUCUGUUUUGUAUGUGGGAUGCCUCCACAGCAUGACUGUGGAGUGGAGUAGGUCCACGCCUGGGAUCUGAACCCAUGAACCCGGGUUGCCAAAGUGGAGCACGUGGAACUCUAACCAUUCAGCCACAGGGCCAGCCCCUAAAAAUUACAUUUUUUAUGCACAAAAGAAGACUGGAAUGAUAAUACCAAAAUGUUAAUAAUCGUUCUCCCUAAUGGUGUGAUUAUGGCUGAUUUUUAUUUUCUCUGUAAAUUUCUGUGUAACUUUUUAUAAUAAGAAAAAGUUAUUUUUAAAAGGAAUCUCUGUCUCAACAUUAAAAUAUGCUUUUCUAUUUACAUGAUACAUUAAUAAAUUUAUGACAAAGUCAAACAUAUCGGAAUAGCUGAAAUGAAAGACUGGAUCCCUGUGAAAUACCCACUAGGUUCUAAGAAGUUAGAAUGUUACAACUGUGUUUCACAUACGCAAGACUAAAAUAGUUUCAUUGUACUGCAUUCUCCUUAUCUAGAUAAACCAUACUGAACGUUUCAUUUAAGCACACUGGAUUUUCAGCGUUUUAAUAAAGUUUAGUUUUUCUUUUCCUUUCUUUUGGUGAUAUCCCCCAAAUAGACGUUACCUUCUAUCUCUUUGGAGCACUUGGAUCUCUUAAUUGAAGAGAAGUAUCUCAUUCCAGAGCACAAAGCACCUCGAUAAGUUGUUUCAAGAACAUUGCAAAUAAAACAUAUUUAGACUGCGUCAUCACAUUAAGAUAUCACUGUAUUAAAACACAUUCCUCAGCAAUUACUUACAUAUAAACUUUCUCUUUUAACUGCGUUCCUGGAGAAUUAUCUUCUUUAAAGCUCAUUUUGGAAAACUUCACUCUUUUUUUUCUGAUGACAACCUGUUUUAAGAGCUCUCAGAAACUUAUAUAGUGCAGGGAAGUACUGUUGGGUUUCUUGACAUGAAAAAUAAGAACAAUGCCAGAAUGAUUAGUUAACUCACUAAACAGUGAAGGAAAAGGACACUUUUAGGUUUGCUCAUGCAACUACUUGAAAGAUUCAAAAAGGUUAAUGUUCCUAGAUUAGUGGUUAUGCAAUUUCAAGCGACUUUUUAAAUAUAUAAUUCUUGAAGCUCAGAUAGAAUUCUAGCAUUCUUGUGGGUUUAAAGAUGAAAUGUUUAAAAGGAUUGGGAAUGAAUUUAUUAAAAGAGAGGCUGCAGAAGAGCUGACAGAAGGUGCCACACUGGAGGAGAACACACACACACACAUGCAUGUGCGCACACACACCCAACUAUUCACCCAGCCCCGACAGCAAACUGAGCUCAGUUCUGAGAAUUUGACUAUGAGCCAAUGCCUGCCCCAGGGAGUGAGUUUAGCACAGGUCGACACAGUCUGAGAGGGGAGCAGCCAUUGAAGCAAGAACAUAAGAGCCAGCAACCUCGAAACUGGAGAUGAUGGCUUCAGACCUGAAUUCCAUGUCGGGAAUAUAGGAUCUAAAUGGAUGGAGAGGUGCGUUGUUUUCUAGAGUAUCACAGGGCUAUAAACAGGGAUAAGAGGAGAAAAGUAACUAAUACAUGAAAAAUCUAAUGGACAAGUGAUUAUCAGCAAAAUGCCUGGCUGGAGCUGGAAGCCUGGGGGCCACCUACCACAGCUGUUUUCACUCACACACUCUUAGCACAGUCUUGCCUUGUCCUGCACUGUCCUUGUCACCUCAGGCUCACCCUCCUCCAACCCUCCUGCUGCACAGAAAUGCCUUCCUUGAAGAUCGCUCUCACCUGGUGACAGGAGUGGGCAGUGGGGCCAGCCCAUCAGGUUUCCUAAUCCCACAAAGGAAGGAAAGGCCCACCAGUGUCCCCUCAGAGCCCACUGCCCACAACCCACACUGUCGGGCAUUUUUGCCUUUGACUCUGGUAUCAUCACAUCCAUUUUUCUCCCAGGGAGACAGUCUUAUCUUAGGUCUCUCGGCUAAGAAGUAGCAGCAGCACGAUUUAACAUCAGUUCCGCUUUUCUCCAAAACUCAGGUGCUUUUAAUCACACCAUAAAGCCCAUCAGAGUGCUAGUCCUAAACAUAAAGGUUCAAAAUUUUUUUCACGAAAUGUAGGUUUUAGACCCUUAACAAGUGGGGGCAAGAAUUUCUGACAGAAGCUGGUUUUGAAACUCCGGUUCUUAGGCUUCCUUUUCUUUCUCCCUCUGUGUUCAUUCACUCGUUCCCCUCUCUGGUCUUUCUCCCUUUAGCUUUUCCUUCUUCUAAUCUUAAGGGCAGGCGUUAGCCCCACCUGAUAUCCUGCCUUCCCUCUCUGGCGUAGACAACUGACGUUUUCUCCACCGCAUGUUGCGCACAGCUUCAAAGCAAGUCCCCUCGCCACACUCUUUCUAUCCAGGCUGGUGCACCAAUCCCAUGCUUCAUAGAUGCAUGGAUGUGCCAGGUCCAUGUUCUUGUGCAUCUAUUAAAUACCGUCUGAAUAUCCAGAACACCGUGCCUCUCAAGAAGCCAGGCCAGGAGCCCUGGCUGCCCCCACCAUUCCUGCAGUGCCCUUUCUGGAUCUUACUUUCCUCCAAUGGGCUGGAAUCCCAGGCUUUUCAUUUUCCCUACCCCUGUGUGAAGAAAAGAGAAAGAAUGUUCAGCAGCUAGGUGGAUGCAGGACAGGGACCCUUCCAUAUAAAGCCCCCGAAGAACAACUGAAAAUUGAACACAUGCCUUAAUUGUCUUCAGUUUCAAGCCUUGUGUUUUCCAAUAAGAAAAUGUUCUCCAUGGAAACAAUUGUUCUGGGGAUAAAAGACGAGGUCAUAUGAAGGUUAUAUACGGUCCUAUAAAAAGUCAUAUAAAAGACGAGGUUAUGAAGGUCAUAGCAGGCCCAUGGUGAGGAAGUGUGAGCGGAAGAAUGACUGGCCUGGUUCACACCAGGGGCCCCGGCUCUCCAGUUGGGGGUAGGGACAGGGGCAGGUAUGAGCGUGGCCUCUGUCCUCCUCUGGACACUUAUGUGAGGCUGCCUUUUGCUCCAAAAUCUGCUGUAACCUGAAAUGAAACACCUGAGCCAUAAAACAGAUGGGCUGAGAUUCAGGAAGGCCCACUCAGACGUCCUUACCAAUGGUGAGCAGAGGUCUGUUUGUAAAUAGAUUAGGAGGAUCAGACUGGUGGAUCAAAGGUGGGUAGUUAUAAAGCAGUAAUAUUUGGUGUGUGUGUGUGUGAGAGAGAGAGAGAGAGAGAGAAGCUUGUAUACUAUUUCAGACACAUUCAAGUGUAUUUGAGUAAGAGACAUCAGGCUCAGCUCAGGUGUUGCCUCCUCCAGGAAGCCUUCCCUGACUGCUCCUGGCAUGGCCUGCAGGGUGGGUUAGGCCUUCCUCCCACAUAUGCGGUAACCACUCAGCAUACCCAGCAGUACAUUCACUCAGUAUACUCCCGAGCUUGCGAACUCCUUGAGGACCAGGACUGUGUCUUUUUUGUCUCUACAACACCCACACUCAGUCGAGGGCCUGGCACAUAGUAGGCCUUCAAGCCCUGUGCGUGGCAUUGGAAGUGAGACUUCUUAAGAUUUAGGCAGUUGGAGGCAGGGUAAUUAGCAGUUUACCUUCAAGGGCUAUGGAGCCAGACUUCCUGAGACAGAGCCUACCAUCAGCCGGUAGUAACUGUGGGCUCUUGGGCCUCGAUUUUCUCAUCUGUAAAAUGGAGGUGUGACUGGCACCUGCCUCUUUGGACUGGUGUGUGUUGAACAAGAUAAUCUUACUCUAUUAUUAGGUAGAGGGAGCUUUCCAGAAUAGGAACAAAUGAACUAUAGUCCUGUCCCGACUUUUCCUCUAACCCGGGUCUUAGAGACCAACUCAUCCUAAAUCCUGUCUCCCUCAGUGUGACGUGUGAACGCAGCUGGAUCUUCUGGAAACAGCAUCUGGUCAUGUCUCUCAAGAGUCUGGGCUCUGUGACCAGGGGCCCGUGACUGCUGUCUGCUCAGGGAGCAGGUCACUUUAACUUUGGCAUUUCCCAGGAAGCUGAUGACAUCAGCCUGGUUCUGUCCACUUACGGGCAGUGGACAUCAGCCCCCUUCUGCGCACUUAAGCACUUCUCGCUGGUUGCUGUCUUACAGGAUGACCAUCGGAAAUUUGGAGUGGUGUUUAUUUCCUUGGUGCUUCCAAAGCUCUAGAUAGUUCACAGAUUGGGUAUUUCUCGGAAUUAACAUCCUCCCUAAAAGGAUUGCUCACUCCUACCCGCUGCUAAGCCCUUUUAUUAUUAUUACCCUACUGGCUCCCAUAAUGCUGUUAUUAGAUGGGCGGGAUAGCCUCCUUUUUGUGGAUCAGGAAUCCAAGACCCAAACGGGAGUCUCAAGGUCACGCAGAGAGCAGCAGUGUGUGCUGGAGGGUACGGUAGGACUCAGGAUCCUUCACGAGGAAAACUGUGUCCAGUUUUACAACACGUUUUGGCAGCGCACAUGAGCACCUGGAAUAAAGACUGCAUUCCCCAGCCUCCCUAGCAGGUGGUGUGGCUACAUGAUUCAGUUCUGGCCAGUGAGGUUGGACAACUCCUGCUCACCACUGGGGUCUCAGUCUACGUGCGCCAUUUUCCGAGAGGCAUUCCUUGACCAAGCUCCAUUUAUUCUUUUCCUUUCCCAUUGUGCUUUUCCAUCACAGUGCCUAGCUUUUCACUGUGGAAAUAUAUAUUUUACUGCAUGGUUAUUUGUUUAAUGUCUGUCUUGCCUGCUAGAUGUUAGCUCUGAGGACUGAGGGGCCCUCAACACUGUAUACCCUGCCUGUACACAGUGCCUACUUGUGGCAGGCCAGAGUUUCCAAGGAUGGUGGCAACAGUAUUUCCUAUCCCACAUGCCCUUCUGCCAGGUGAUUUGCCACUCUCCCAUCAAGAGGUAGAGUCUGUUUCUCCACCUCCCUGAAUCUGGGUAGGCCCUGUGACAGCUUUCACUCCUAGAAUGUGACAGAAAUGAUGCUAUACCUGUCCUUGGUGUGGCCCUUAACUGGCCUGGCAGCUUCUGCUUUCUACCUUUGGAAGGCAGUUGCCAUGUAAGAAGGAGUAGUAGCCUGAAGCCACCAUACUGUGCGAAGCCCAAGCCCGGUGGAGAAGGCCUGGAGGAUGUAACCCCACGUGAAGAGGCAGGGGCCAUCCUCAGAGCACCGAGCCUCCUGCUGCGGAGGGAGCCAUCUUGGUCAUCCAGCCCGGACGAGCCUUCGGAUGACUGCAGGCCCAGCCACCAGCUGAUUGCCACCUGUGAGACUCAGAGCAAGACCUCCCCGCUGAGCCCAGCCCAAGAACAAACUUAUAAGAAGUAAUAAUAAAUAGUUGUUAAAAGCCAUUCUGUUUUGGGUGGUUUGUUAUGCAGCAUAGAAAAUGUGAACACUGGCACAGAGCAAGUGGUUGGUAAAUAUUUGUUGAAUGAAUGAUGGAUAGAUUCUAUUCUUUUCAUUCUUUGCUGGAACAUGGAGGUCCACAGUAAUUCUGAGACAGACCUAGAACCAGAACGUCUUCCAGGGUGGAGCUCUGGCUCUGGGCCGUGCUUCCUGGAGGCCUGUGAUUAAAUCCUUGCAAGACAAAUGCAAUAUGACGGCUUCUCCUGCAGGCGUGGAUCCAGGAUGUUGAGGAUACAACAUGGGAGAAGAGACUGGGGGAGUCAGCAGGUUGUCCUUGGCCUCUUUGCUCUGUGGCAUGUGCCAUCGUUAAACCACCAUGCACACAGCUAAAACAGCUGAACAAAGAGUGAGAUGGGCAGGAAGUGAGGACGUUCUUGAGAUGCAAAACAAUGGAGGUGAGACACAAUGUCGAUCACAGCCACGGCUAUCUCUGGGCAGUGGCGUUACAGGUUAAUUAAAAAUAUUUUCUUCCUUUUCCUCAUCUGCAUUUUCUAAACACCUUUCAAAGCAUGUCUUACUGUUUUACUAAAAAUAAGAACUAGGGCCAGCCCCGUGGCCCAGUGGUGAAGUUCAUGCUCUCUGCUUCAGCAGCCCAGGGUUUCAUGGGUUUGGAUUCUGGGCGUGGACCUAGCACUGCUCAUCAAGCCAUGCUGAGGUGGCGUCCCACAGAACAGAACUAGAAGGACCCACAACUAGGAUAUACAUCUAUCUACUGGGGAGCUUUGGAGAGAAGAAGGAAAAAAAAGAAAAAAAAAGAAACAUUUUUAUUUAAAGACUUUAGUUGUGCUGUGAACUUUGCAGAAGGCAAAAACAACCCAACCAAACUGAAAUAGACAAAACAACCAAACGAAAACCCAGGCUCCAAAAUUGCAUUCUCAGCAGCCAGUCACUUUUUUCUUUUUUUUUGGUCUCAAAGGCCAUUAUUUCAGGAAAUAAAGAAAUAAGCAUAUCGCAAAGUAUCUUAUAAAUGAUAAAUGAGAGUGAGCAUCAGAAUGGGGUGACAAGUGGGUGGCAGCAUCUGGAAACCAGGUGCAGAGCUUGCCCCCAUCUUUAUUUUUCUGUGGAAUAUUUGGCUUGGGUCAUCGAUGCCCAAUCCAGCAGCAUCCUAGACUCAUCAAACCCUCUGAUUUAUAAUUAUCCAGAAUUAGCUUGCCCUUUGGAACCUAUUUUUGGUCAUUAUGCUCAUUUGUGUGAUUAAUUAUACCUUAUCAAGAGACCAAGAUAUAUUCUCUGAAAACAAAACCUUUCCAGAUUUGGGGGGAGUAAUUUCCAGCUCAGUCAGCUCCAGAACCGUUUAACACUGAGUCACCAGCAGAGAAUCACUGCUCCCAAUGUGGGCAGCUCAGGAUUUGGAAAUCUGCUGAGGAAAAAGAAAUUAAAACUAGAAAAAGGAGCUUGGGAAUAACUCUGCCUUUUCAGUUGGGGUCUCCCAGAGUUCUCCUAAGGGCGAGUUCCUGACUGUUUCAUCUCAUUUCAUUCCUCAGGCAUUUAUUGACUCCUGCUUGAAUGUCAGGAGCUGUUUGGGCCACUGGCUCCCCAUGACACAUGUCAUUCAUUCACUCAUCAAUUCAUUCAGUAUGAAUUUAGUGAGCACUUGAUAUGCACCAAGCAUCGCUCUAGUCUACAUUCCUGUGUUAUAUCAAUGAACAAAACAGACAUAAAUCCCUGUCCUGGUCAAAAAUUACAAUAAAACUUACACAUAAGAAAAUGAUAUUGUGUGUUAGAAGGUGGCAAGAACUAUGGAAAAUAAGAAAACAGAAACAGAGUAAGGGGCAUCAGGAGGAUGGUGGUGGUGUGUGUGUGUGAGUGCAAUUUUGCAGUUGUUAAAUAGAGUAAUGUAGUGGGUUGAAUAAUGGCCCCCAAAAAGAUAUGUCUGAAUUCUAACCUCUGGAACCUAUGAAGGUAACCAUAUUUGGAAAAAGGGUCUUUACAGAUGCAAUUCAGUUAAUGGUCCUGUAUUAGCCAGGAUUCUCCAGAGAAACAGAACCAAUAGGAUAUAUCUAUAUCUAUAACUCUAUCUAUCUAGAUAUAUACAAGAGGAGACAUAUUGUAGGAAUUGACCUACGCAGUCUUGGAGGCCAAGAAGUUCCAACAUCUGCUGUCUGGAAGCUGGAGAACCAGGAAAGCUGGUGGUAUAAUUCAGUCGGAGUCUGAAGGCCUGAGAAUCUGGGGGCUGAUGGAGUAAGUCCUGAUCUGAGUCCAAAAGCCCAAGAACCAGGAGCGCCGAUGUUCAAGGGCAGGAGAAGACAGAUAUGUCUCUGCUGAAGCAGAGAGAAAGCAAAUUCACCUGCCUCUACCCUUUUGUUCUAUUUGGGAUCUCAAUGGAUGGGACGAUGCCCACCUGUAAUGCGGAGGGCCAUCUGCUUUACCCAGUCUACCAAUUCAAAUGCGAAUCUCUUCCGGAAACACCCUCACAGACACACUCAGAAACGAUGUUUUACCAGCUAUCUGGACAUCCCUCAGUCCAGUCAAGUUGACACAAAAAAUUAACCAUCACAGGUCUUGAAAUGAGAUCAUCCUAGAUUAUCCAGGUGGGCCCUAAAUCCGAUGACAGGUGUACUUAGAAGAGAAAAGGCAGAGGAAGGUUUGAGACACAGGCACAGGUAAAAAGUCGAUGACAGAGACUGGCAAGUCAAGGAAUACUUGCAGCCACCAGAAGCUGGAAGAAGAAAGGAAGGCAUCCCCCCCAGAGACUGUGGAGUGUGGCUGUGUCAUCACCUUGACUUCGGGCUUCUGGCCCCCACGCUGUUAGAAAAUAAAUGUCUCUUGUGUUUUAAGGCACCAGUUUGUGGUAAUCUGUGUUUGUAGUCCUAGGAGCAAACACAAACGGUCAGAGUAGGUUUCAUGGAAAAGUGACAUUUGAGUGAAGUCUUAAGGAGAUGGGGAGAUGAGCUGUGUGAGUAUCUAGGGGGAGAGCUGUUUGUGUAUAGGGAAUGGCCCACUCUCAGGGCAGUGUGCCUGGUGUGUGUGGAAUGACACAGCCUCCGCCUGUGUGGCUGAAGCAGGAGGGGUGAAAGGGAGGGGAGUAAGAGGAGACAAGGACAGGGAAGUAACAGAGGGACCAAAGGAGGCUGACAGAACAUGCAGGGCCUCUGAGGGUGUUUUAAAACCUUUGGAAUAAUGGUGCAUGUGGAAUUAACCAUCAAAACACCACUACUGAGCAUCUGUUACAUGACUAGUACUGUGGCGGGUUCUUCAUGUACUUGAUCUCAGCUAUUCCUCUCAAAGACUUCAUGAGGAAGGUUGCAUUCCCUUAACUUCAUGUAUGGGAAGUUCUGCAUUAUCUACACACAGUUGCAUAAUUAGAGAGUAGUGGAGCUGAACCCCAGAGCCAGUCUCCUCUGCCCCAAAGCCCACACUCUUCCUACCCAUCACACAGUCUUGCAAGCACAUGCACCAUAAGGGAUGAGAAGGGAACUUCCUCAAUCUAAUAAAGGACAUCUACAAAAAAGCUACAGCUGGCAUGGUACUUAAUGACGAAACACUAAAUACUUUCCCCUCAGGAUUAAGAACAAGGCAAGGUUUUCCAGCUUCUGUAUUCUUGUUCAACAUCAUAUUGAAAGUCCUAGUCAGUGCAAUAAGGCAAGAAAGAGAAAUGAAGGCAAACAGAUUGGAAAGGAAGAAAUAAAGCUGUCCCUGGUUGUAAAUUACAUGAAAAUCCAAGGAAUCUUUUUUUUUUUUUUUGAGGAAGAUUAGCCCUGAGCUAACUGCUGCCAAUCCUCCUCUUUUUGCUGAAGAAGACUGGCCCUGAGCUAACAUCCAUCUUCAUCUUCCUCUACUUUAUAUGUGAGAUGCCUACCACAGCAUGGCAUGCCAAGUGGUGCCAUGGCUGCACCCGGGAUCCGAACCGGCAAACCCCGGGCUGCCGAGAAGUGGAACGUGUGCACUUAACUGCUGCGCCACCAGGCCAGCCCCCAAGGAAUCUGAUUUUUAAAAAAAUUUCAAGAACUAAUAAGUGAGUUUGGUAAGGUUGUAGGAUGCAAAGUCAGCACACAAAAUUCAAUUGUAUUUCUACAUGCUAGCAAUGAACAACUGGACACCAAAACUUUUAAAAAAAAUAUCACUUAUAAUGGUUACCCACAAAAUUAAAUACUUAGGUAUAAAUCUAACAAGACAUAUAUAAGGUCUGUAUGAACACUAAUGGAUGAAAAAAAAUCAAAGAAGACCUAAGUAAAUAGAGAGACAUACCAUGUUCAUGGAUUGGAAGACUCAACACAGUAAAAAUGUCAGUUUUUCUCAGAUCGAUUUAAUGCUGUUCCAAUCAGAAUCCUAACAGAAUUUUCAAAAAAUAUAUAGAUAAGCGGACUUUAAACUUUAUAUGGAAAAUCAAAGAACUAGAACAGUCAAAACAAUUUUGAAAAAAAAAAAAUUUGCAGGAAUUAUACUAUACAAUUUAAAGACUUAUUCUAAAGUCUACAAUCAUCAAAGCAGUGAAGCAAUUAGCAAUGGGUCUAUUAAUAAAGUGAUAGACACAUAAAUUAAUAGGACAGAAUAGAAAGUCUAGAAAUAGAUGCACACAAAUAUGGCCGAUUGAUUUUUUGCAAAGGUAAUUCAAUGGAGAAAGGAUAUUCUUUCAACAAAUGGGGUUUGGACAAUAGGACAUAUAUAUGCAAAAGAAAAAGAAAGAGAAAACAGAAAAAGCAGAAUAAAACGAAAUUCACCCUAACCCUCACAGCUUAUACAAAAAUUAACUGGAAAUGGUUCAUAAAUGUUAAGGUAAAACAUAAAGUUAGACUUCAGUGGAGUGGAGUCAUAGAACAAACUGGAAAUUGGGUCCUUUCACGUCACUACAUUAAAAAAAAGAAAAGAAAAUUUACCCCCUUUAAUUUGGAAGAACAAAAGGAAGUGAAAGAAAGGAAAAAAUGCCGGGAAAGAAACUGGUGAAUGACAUGGAGGAAUGUGGUCUGGGGAUCUGCUAGGGAACACGAACUCUGCAGAAUAGCAGUGUACUGACAGACAGACAGACAGCCUUUGAACCCAGGCUCGUUCACUCGUUUGUUCAUUUGUUCAGACAUUGAUCGAGCCCCUCUUGUAUCUGAGAUGCUAAGUAUACAACAGUGAACAAACUAGACACCAUCUUCUUCUGUACCUCAUGAAGAUUACACUGAAGCACGGGAAACAGGCUUGAAACUAAUAACCUAAAACACUAAUAAUUAGAUAACAACAACUAGUGAUGAGUGUUAUGAAAGAAAACAGGGCACCCUGCUAUGAAAGAGAAGAAAAAAGACCUACUUUAGGCUGGGUGGGGGUCAAGGCAGGUCUUUCUGAGAAGGAGUCAGAGAAGGAUGAGUAGGAAGAAGCCAGGACAAGAUGGAUGGGGAUGGGGCUCCAGGUAGCAAGAGCCUUCAUAGAGGGCUCAGGUGGAAGGAACUGGUUGAACAUGAGGGACAGGAAGGAAGCCCUGGUGGAUGGUGGAGGGGGAAGGGAGGGUGCGGCAUGAGAUGCGACUGGAGAGGAUAUUGACAGGCUUUUAUCCAAGGGAGUGACGUGAUUCAACAUACAUUUCAAAAGAUGAUCCUGGCUACGUAUGAAAAGUGGUCUACUGGUAGAGAGGAAGGCAGGGGAAAUAGCUGGAAAGUCUUUACAGUGGUCCGUGGUGGCCUUAUAGGUGGGAUGUCAGUGGAGAUGGAGAAAAGUGAACAGGUCUGAGAGAUAUUUUGGAAGUAGUAGUGUGAACUAUAUGAAAUUUUCAAUAUUUGCCUAAUUUUUACUUACAAAAGUGGCAAUUUCCUAUGAUGUGGCCUAAUAGAAUUGGCAGGACUUGGUAAUGGACUGGAUUUGGAGGGUGAAGAAGAGGAAGACGUCAAGAAUGACCUCCAUGUUUCUGGCUUUAGUGACAGAGUAUGUGGAAGCGCCCUUUACUGAGAUGGGAAGGAGGGACGGGGGUGGGGUUAUGGGCUCGGGUGGAAGAAGUUCAGUUUACAGACGUGAGGCUGGAGACACCUGUGUGAUCUCCGGAGAGAGGCACCAGUGUGGCAGUCGGAUCUAUGAUUUGGGAGCUCAGGAGAAUUCCAGCUAAGGUACGUAUGUAGGGUUCAGCAUAUUAGAUGAUAACUAAAAACAUGGAAGUAGAUAAGCUCUAGGAGAAAGUUCAGAAUGGGAAGAGCAGAGGGCCCAGGAGCUCCAACCUUUAGAGGCUGGGUAUAGGAGGAGCAGCAAGAAAAGGAAGGAGUCAGAGACACAGGAGGAAAACCAGGAGAGGGUGGUGUCAGGGAGGCCAAGAGAGGAGCAGUGUGAACCCGGGAGAGAGUGGUCGAUUGCGUUGAAUGCUAUUGAGGGGUCUCACAAGAUGAGAUAAUGAUCACGUAUAGUUUAAAAUCCAAGCUGAGAAAAUAUGUCAGCUACUUUUUCCAGUGAGCAAUUUCAAAAACAGAUUUCACUGUACAUAAAAAAUAGAAUCAGUAACACCACAGACAGGAAGCAUUACAAUUGGUGUUGACGGGUCUAAUAACACGAACACUUACCUCAUAUUUGUUCUGUGCCAGGCACUGUUCUAAGUAUUUAUAUAUUCACUCAUGUAAGCCUCACAACCACCUCGGAGAUGGGCAGGCUUACCCCUGUUUACGAAUGGGGCAAGGGUAAAUAACGCCCCAAUCACAAGGCUAGUGUGAGGGGCCUGGGGCUGGAUCCGGGCAUUCUGGCCCUGAGCUUAGUGCUCAUAAGUAUAACACUCUCAUUAAGGCUUGGCAGAUUCCUCAACAAACGUGAAAGCUGUUUGAAAAGAAUUACAGUGUCACAGUUGAUGCAUACAGACAGCUGCCAAAGGUGAAUUCAUUUUCAGUUUUAAGUUUUAGUGCAUUUCCGUGUGUGUGUGAUGUAACUUCUCUAAUCCUGAGCAGAUCGGUUGCCACACGUGGCAGAUUGUUUCCAAGAUGGUUAGAAAAAUAUCUCCCAUCCAGUGUGCCUUUGCUUCUCCUCCGUCAAGAGUGGGGUCUAGGGCCGGCCCGGUGGCGCAGCGGUUAAAUAUGCAUGUUCUGCUUCUUGGCAGCCUGGGGUCCGCUGGUUGGGAUCCUGGGUGAGGACAUGGCACCGCUUGGCAAACCAUGCUGUGGUAGGCGUCCCACAUGUAAAGUGGAGGAAGAUGGGCACGGAUGUUAGCUCAGGGCCAGUCUUCCUCAGCAAAACGAGGAGGAUUGACAGCAGAUGUUAGCUCAGGGCCAAUCUUCCUAAAAAAAAAAAAAAGGAAGAGUCUAUUUCCCUCCCCUUGGAUCUGGGCCAUCCUCUGUGACUUGCUCCAGCCAGUUAGACUAUGGUGGAAAUGAUGUUCUGGAACUUCCAAGCCCAGGCCGUCAGAUGCUUUUUGCUUCUGCUUUCACUGAGGGGAAGCAGCCUCCACAUAGAGAAGUGAGGCUAUUCUGCUGGAGGGACAGGACGCCUGGAGAGAGGCCCUGGAGGACAAGACAGAAUGAAUCCAGGGAGGCCACAGGGGAAGUCCGAGCUCGUAGGUAGCAGCGAGGCCCCAGACAGAGGGGUGAGGCUGUCCUGGAUCUGACAGCCCUGCUGAACUCUUAGGGAAAUGCAGCCGCAGGAGUGAACCAGCCAACACCAUGUGAAGUAGAGUCUUCACUGAGCCCUGCCCGAAUUCCUGACCCACAGAGUCAUGAGCAAUAAUAAAUGGUGGUUCUUUUAAGCCACUGAGUGCUGGGUGAUCUGUUAUGCAGCAACACCUAACCGGUCAAGUCCAUCUGCAUCCUCGCUCUCUGUUCCUGGGGAAUACCUGAGGUCCAGGUAGAGCCGUUUACUUUGAGUCACAAAUUUACAGAAGUCCUGGAAGGCCUGGGCUAGACCCUCUCUCUGUCUCCAUUUGGCUUCACGGACCCAAUAAAGGAGAUCCAGCUCUGUUAACAGCUACUUCUCUGACAUCAAAAUAUCAGUGGAUUUCUUUGGAUGGUGUAGUUAUAGGUAAUUUCCUGCAUUUCUCAAUUUUUCUGGAAUUAGCAAAAAUUGCUUCAAUAAUGUGGAAAGAGAUGCUAUGGCUCUCUUCCACACUAUGGCAACUACUAUUGGUAGGCUGCAGAGCGGCCAUCCCCAAUCCUUUUCUUCUUUCCCAUUCGGCCUUAAAGAGCCAGGUCCUCAUUUUUCUAGUCUCCCUUGCAGGUAGAGAUGAUCUUGUGACCAAAUACGAUCCAAUAAGAUACAAAGGUAAGUCUGAGGGGCUUCUGGGCAAGAAUUUUCCUUUCCAGACCAAAAAAAAAAAGAAGAGCUACACAGGAGACCUCUUUCUUGCUCUCCUCCCUCUGCUCCCUACCUUUGGAUGUGGUCACCUAACUUGGUGAUGUCUGGAGCUCCUGCAGCCAUCUUGUAACCAUAAGGCAAUAAAUCCACAGUUGGAAAAAAGUCUUCUCCAAAAAAAAAAAAAUGGAACAGAAGGAUGGAAAGCACCUGGCUUCUUGAUAGCAUGAUUAGUUGCUGAACCAAUUGGGAGACUUCCUAUCUCUUGACUAUUUGUUAUCUAAUUGACAAAUGUAAUUAUGGCUUAAACCACUGUUAGUUUUUUUUUUUUUUUACUUACAGCUGAAAGCAUUCCUAGCUGAUGCAAUAACCCUGUGGGUAUUUAACACUCCCUUACUAGUACUCAGUUUUCCCAUGUGGCUAAAUGCAAUUUCUCCCUUUGUAAAUUAAUCCUUUUCUCUCUUACUUUGUCUCAGUGGAAACAAAGACUUGCUGGUAACCAAUCUUUGCCUAAUUAAACCUUUUAGAUAUGUAAUAGCUCUUGUUAAGAGUUAAUCUUUAGUUACCCCACAAUCCAGUUUGUGGGACCCAUUUGCCUACCUUUAGCUGUGAUGGUGGUAAUGUCACUACCUGGUGGCUUUGGCAGUAGUGGAUAGGUGGCAUGUGUCCUGCUGCUUUCCUUCUUAGCCUCACUGAGCAGCACAGAAUCAUGCCCUCACCAGUCACUACACCCCCCACACAGGAAGGUACCCUCAGGAAGGGCGAGGUCUGCCCAAGUCUGCCAGAAGCAAAGAUAAAGGAAAACUCAGGUCAAUCUCAGCCACAACGACCUAAACUAGUUUUCUGUUUUUAUUUUAACUUUGUAUUAUGGCAAUUUGAAACAUAUACAAAAAUAGACUAUACAAACAUACACAUACACAAAAAUAAAUGUAUACAAAAAAUAGAAGUGUGUUACAAACCUCUGUGUACCUAGCACUCAGCUUCAACAAUUAAUAAUUUGUGACUUUCUUUUUUAUGCUGUCCUCCUGCCCACCUAACUACCUCCCAUAUUAUUUUGAAGCAAAUCCCAGACAUUGUAUCAUUUUAUCUAUAUUCAUUUCAGUAUGCAUCUCUAAAAGCUAACAAUUCUUUUAAAAGUAUAACCACAAUAUUAAUAGCACACAAAAAUAAUUCGUUAAUAUCAUCAUUAUUCAGUCAAUGUUCAAAUUUCCACUAAUUAUCUUUUAAAAAUUGGUUGUAUAUAAUUUUUUUAAAGAUUUUAUUUUUCCUUUUUCUCCCAAAGCCCCCCGGUACGUAGUUGUGCAUUUUUAGUUGUGGCUCCUUCCAGUUGUGGCAUGUGGGACGCCACCUCAGCAUGGCUUGACGAAUGGUGCCAUGUGCGUGCCCAGGAUUCAAACUGGCGAAACCCUGUGCCACCAAAGCGGAACACACGAACUUAACCACUCGGCCAUGGUGCCGGCCCCUCAUUUUUAUAGUUGACAGAAAAGUAGCACAUACUCAAUGAAGAACUUUUGCAAAAUAUAAAAAAACACAUAGAAGAAAAUUUCUACUCACUCAUCAUCCCCAGAGCUGACUCCAGUCUGUAUGGUGCCAUGUAUGAUUAGAAAAAGAUGGACCUUCCCAGCAGGCACAGCCCAGUGCCAGGAUGGCAGCCACUGCUUGUUCUCUGGGGCAGACGCCAUGGAGCCUUGCACGUACUGGGCUGUUGCAUGUUCACAGCGCUGAGUGUUUCAUCAAUGUUUACAUUUUGGAGUACAGCCUUCCAGAUUUUCUAUGGAUAUACACACAAUUUUUACGGAAUUCUUUUCAUACUGUACAUUCUGUUUUCUAAGCAGUUUUUUUUUACUUAACAGCAGACCAUAAACAUUUUGCCAUGUCAUUGAAUUUGCUUCCAAAGCAUGACUUUCUGUGGCUGCCUUGGGGGGCAUUGCACGGCUGUGCCACCACUCAUUUAAGCAGUGGCCAAUUGUUUAGACCUAUGGUCCUUAGAGUGCGGUGCCUGUCUUUGGGAGGUAAAACACAGGCGAAAAUAUCGUGUCCUUCUUGGGAGGAACAUUAGAACACGCAGGGGAGUUUCUGCACAUGCAUUGCACGAUCAUGAAGUUUCAAUUGGUUCCACCCAUGGGUUUGGGAAGAAAGCAAAGGUAUGGUUCCACUUAACUCAACUCACGCCUUGUGGGGCAGGGUGAGCUAUCCGUUGGCAUGUUUAGAUUCCCAGAGCGGUUCCACAGUAAACAAGAGACUUCAGUGAAGAGCAGUGAGGCAAGGAAAUAGAACAUAUCUAUUAGGACAGUCACUCUCAAAGUUACACAACCAGGAAAUUAGGGCUUGGGCAACCAGCCGCAGCCAAUGUGUGAGGUUGACAGAAGGCAGCGGGCAUGAGGGUUUUCUCAGACCAGUGUUGCUGGGUGUUAGAAACCCAGCCAUAACUGAUUUCAAGCCACCAACUAAUGCUUUGUAAGAUGCAUCAUUACAGACUGAAGGCAUGGGGCAAUGGAUUCUUGGAGAAAUCAGCAGCUCAUAAUCUCCAUCUCUUGAGAAUUAAGAAAAACAUCAAGGUUAAUUGCAAAGCAUCCAUUUGCCCAAACCCAAGGCCCACAGUCAGCCCUAAGCCACAGUAUUUUCUUUUCUUUUCUUUGAGGAAGAUUAGCCCUGAGCUAACCACUGCCAGUCCUCCUCUUUCUGCUGAGGAAGCCUGGCCCUGAGCUAACAUCCGUACCCAUCUUCCUGUACUUUAUAUGUGGGAAUACUUCCACAGCAUAGGGUACCAAGUGGUGCCAUGUCCACACCUGGGAUCUGAACCGGCGAGCCCCGGGCCACCGAGGAGUGGAACCUGCGCACUUAACCACUGCGCCACUGGGCCAGCCCCAUAAGCCACAGUAUUUUCUACACCAGCUCUUAUCUUCUUUAUGGAAUCCACUGAAUCAAAUGACUCAGUUUAACGGAGUCAUUGCGACAGGGUGAGGUCAGAGGGCAGAUGUAAACCAGGAAUUCCUAACCCCAGAGGCCACUCCCAUGGGUCAUAGAGUUUGGUAAGUACUUCAAAAUCCCUGAGAUGGGAAGGCCACUUAAAUGGAAAUGAUCAGAAUUAGGUAGGUCAGCCUAAAGAAGGAUUAAGAGGAAAAGUCCCUCUGAUUUUACAUCGACUCAUAAAUUCAAGUUUAAAAAUUGAUAAGGAGUCCAUAUCAUUGAGCCUUGGUAAAGGGCAUUUCUCAGGAAAAGCGGAGGCGCAGAGCGUCGGGUCUUCCUCAAAGAUGACUUGCACACUGCAAUGACCUGGUAGGUAUUCUGAAAUCCCAAACCCACAAUUAGCCCUCUCUCAUUGCUUCCAAGGAACUGCAUUUUCAUGCAGAAUUUCACCCGGUUCUUGCAUCAGAAGCUCUUUUAGGGGUACGUUGGCUUCCUGGGGCUGCGGUAACAAAGCACCAUUAAGUGGAUGACUGAAGACAGCAGAAACUUACUCUCUCACAGCUCUGGAUCCCGGAAGUCUGAAAUCAAGAUGUUGGCAGGGCCGUGCUCCUUCCGAAGCCUUGAGGGGAGGACUCUUCCUUGCCUCUUGCAGGGUCGGGUGGCUUCAUCCAGGUGUUCCUUGGUUUGUGACUGUGAUUAGAAUUAGAAUUCUAAUCUUUGCCUCAUCUUCACACGGCUAUCUUUUCUCUGUGUGUCUGUCUGUGUCCACAUUUCCCCCCCUUCAUAGGAAGCCAGUCAUACUGGAUUAGGGUCCGCCCUAAUGACGUCAUCUCAGCUCGAUUGCAUCUAUUUCCAAAUAAGCUCGCAUUCGUAGGCACGAGGGGUUGGGACUUCAACAUAUCUUUCUGGGGACACGAUUCAAGCUACAACAGAUGAAAUGUCAAAGGUCUGGGAUUAUAGAUCCAGCUUCAUCGUCAACUGCUGUGAGAUCCUGAGCAAGUCACUUACCAUUCCUGGGCUCCAGGUGUCCUCAACUGUCCCCACAGGUACCCUUGUGGCCUGCAGAUUCAGUGCAGUUUGAACAAGAGCCUAAUUUAUUUCACACUAGCCAAAGAGAAUAGACUCACGUGGUAAGGCUCUGCCAGGGUGGGAGCAGCCUCACAGCUCUGGGAGGCAAUGCCAGGACCCGGCUGGAGGGGCUGUGUUCCUACCAUGGCAGAUCCAGGACAGUGGAUGGGAAUGAAGGGCACAGGAGCCCUCCAGCAGUCCCUGGCAAGGCCUCUUGUGGUGCCAGCAGCCAGGCCCUUAAGUAAACAGCAGCAGCCAAGUUGCCAUGCUCCUUCGCCCAGGUGCCACAGGCUGCCAGCCCCUGGGAUAGCAGUCACGUCAUCAGCCCUGGAGCCCAAGGAGCACAGUCAAUGGAUCUUGGCUUCCAAAGCUUUCCAUAGAACCAGCACCAACAGGUGAGACCCACCCAGCUCGGACAAGCCAGUGCGAUGAAUUCCAACUACAUACGCCUCCCCUUAGCCCAGCUUAAAUAUUUAGACAGCCAUGGUGCGUGUGUGCUCCAUACGCGAGGCUGUGAGUGGGUGAGAGGGUUUUAGCUGGAGGUGAGGCUGAAGGAAGCUGACAUGUUAUUCAAUGGAGGGCUGCAGAGGCGAAGCCGGGCAGCUACACAUUCCAGGAAUGCGGAUGUAAUGCUCUCAGUGUGUAUCUGAGGCUGACAGGGUUUGACAGUCUCCAUCUGGGAACAAUAACCCGCCAGCAGCAGCCCAGGCUGUGCAGAGGGCUGCUCUGACCCCCCGCUCUGCCCUUCUUCUUUCCCUCCGUGCCCUGGGCUCCGAGUGAGAUGGGGAGCUGUGGGGAGGGGACCGUCCCUCCUUACUUUGCCGGCCCCGGGCUGCAGGCAGGAGUCCUGGAGCAGCCAGGCCUGGGGGGCCAGCUCACCGAAUGCUUGCAAUUCCAGGAGCAGCGGGCUGAGGACAGAAUCCAUUUUCCCCCACUCUGGGAGACCUGGAUGGAAUGCCAUGGGGGGAGGCAAUUUGGGAUGCCAGCUGAUCACCCAGCCGGCUGCAUGGGGCGGCAGCGAGGCCUGGGGGCGGCCAUGGGUUUACGUCACGUUUAAUACCUUGGCCUUUCUUUAUGUGAAUGGGGGAGGGGGCUUUCCUCUGUGAAGUUCAAAGCACCGUUCACAAACUUCCUCUGCUAAUCCUCACUCUGAUCUGAAUUUUGUUGUGUAACUAAACUGAUUACAAGAAUUUGGUGAACAGACUUCCUCAUGCUUUGCCCCCGCGGGUUCACCAGCCUGGGGGCGAGACAAGGAAGUGGGAGAAGGUAGGUUAGGGCAUAGACAAUGUUGGAGUGAGAAGGAGACUCGGGGCCACAUCACACAGCCCAGCAUAGUCCUGGUUAUUUUUUUGGCAAGGAAGAGUGGCCCUGAGCUAACAUCUGUUGCCAAUCUUCCUCUUUUCGCUUGAGGAAGAUUGGUGCUGAGCUGACAUUCAUGUCAAUCUUCCUCAUCUUUAUGUGGGAUGCCGCCUCAGCGUGGCUUGACCAGUGGUGCUAGGUCUAUGCCAGGGAUCCGGGCCUGCAAACCCUGGGCCACUUAGGCAGAGCAUGCGAGCUUAACCACUAUGCCAGCAGGCCGGCCCCCAUAGUCCCGGUUUAAACAUGUAAGGCUGAGGGGAGUGGACAUGGGAAGAUGUGUAGGACUUCAUGAUCUCCUUCCUGGUCCCAGAAGGACAUUUGUGACUACCUCCCGGGUAUCUCCAGCGGCCCUUCAGACACAAUGUGCCCAGAACUGAACUCAGUGUCGCCCUUCACCCUACUCUCUCCCUGCAGUACUGCCCUCAGACCUGCUGUCCCAGGCCCUCUGCCCUGGGGGCACUUGGAACCUCCUCUCUUGCUGCUUUUGGCUCUGCUCCUUCUCACAGGACAUGGCCACCCCGAGCUCUCGCCAUCCCUCAACAAUACUUACGUUCCAAGACUCCAGAAUUCCCCACCCAGGCAGCUCGGAGCUUCUUCCAGGGUCUGGCCAUCCUCUGGGGGGCACACUCCACUGCAGGCACAGGGGCAGCUGUUUGUUGGGAGGGCGGCGUGCGGGGAGCUGGGCUGUGCAGACCAGAGUGUCCACAAGCCUGACUCCUCAUGGUGCAGGCGGAGGGGCAGGCUUUGGCUGCAGGUCCUGGCCUGUCCCUCUGUGUUAUCCAGCCCCAGGACACACCACCAUCCAGAGUUUCUGAAGCCAGAAACCUACCAGUGUGUUUGAAUCCCUUCUCCCAUCCCAAACAGAUCCUCCUCAUCAACCAGCUUCUCUCGAUGCCACCUCCAGGAUGGCUCUUGUAUGCGUCCCUUUCUCUCCAUCCAAAUGGCCUCUGCCUCUCUUCUGUUCUCCCAGUUGAAGCAACAGCCUCAUCGCUGGUUUCCCUGUUCCACACGUGCCCCUCUCCUGUUCAUUCUCUGCCCUGUGGCCAGAGGGGUCUUUCAUCCUCUGAUCUUGUGAAUUUCUGUUAUUCACAAUUUAAAUAACCUCCGCUUGAACUUCAGCUCCCAACUUGGAGCUCAUCCCUGUGGAAGCCUUCUGUGAUGCUCCUGGAUAGGGUCAAGGACCCUGCUGAGGAACUGCCAGGGGGCCUCA
rnacentral:lncRNA from 1 species